GCAGCUUCCUAACAGCUCAGUGGGUUACAGCAUGGUGCUCAUAAUGCCAAGGUUGUGGGUUCGAUCCCCGUAUGAGACAGAGCUGCA